rnacentral:rRNA from 1 species
GACGAACGCUGGCGGCGUGCUUAACACAUGCAAGUCGAACGGAAAGGCCCUGCUUUUGUGGGGUGCUCGAGUGGCGAACGGGUGAGUAACACGUGAGUAACCUGCCCUUGACUUUGGGAUAACUUCAGGAAACUGGGGCUAAUACCGGAUAGGAGCUCCUGCUGCAUGGUGGGGGUUGGAAAGUUUCGGCGGUUGGGGAUGGACUCGCGGCUUAUCAGCUUGUUGGUGGGGUAGUGGCUUACCAAGGCUUUGACGGGUAGCCGGCCUGAGAGGGUGACCGGCCACAUGGGGCCGGGGGUCCGGCCCGGACCCCUCCGGAGGGAAGCGGUGGGGAUAAUUGAACAAGGGGCGGAGGCCGGAGGCAGAAACGCCGCGUGCGGGAGGACGGCCUUCGGGUGGUAAACCGCUUUGGCCUGUGACGAGGCGUGAGUGACGGUAAUGGGAAAAGAAGCACCGGCUAACUACGU